rnacentral:snoRNA from 1 species
CUGUAAGAGGGAUGAUGUACUAUUACAAGGCUCUCAAAAUGUUGGCUUUUCUUGAUUCAGCAUCAGAGGAAUCCAUUCAAAG